GGGACCUCCCACCUUAAAGGCGUGCAACAGAGAGCAGACACAACAGAGAGAGCUACGCUGCACCGGACUCACUAUCUCAGGUUCAUUCAGAAUCACAGAACCAUUACUGGGCCACUCCAGUAAAAUGGCAAAGAUGGACUUUUCCUUUGGUCUGGAAGUGUACCUGUUGAAGAUAAGGCCCAUUCAGGAAUUUUUAACAAAGGGGCAGAGAUGGCCUCGCCGUUGACCUUCAUCCACUGACCCAUCUGCCUCAGACGCUCCUCAAAGAUCGGAGCGAUUCGUCCAUCGUGUGUAGGGC